UAAAAGAUAAGCUAAAAAAGCUAAUGGGCUCAUACCCCAUCUAUAUAGGUCCUAAUCCUAUUCUUUUAA
rnacentral:tRNA from 1 species